GCCGAUGUAGCUCAGUUGGCUAGAGCGUGUGAUUUGUAAUCUCAAGGUCGUGGGUUCGAUUCCCUCCAUCGGCU
rnacentral:tRNA from 3 species